rnacentral:rRNA from 1 species
CUUUUACAAUGAAGAGUUUGAUCCUGGCUCAGGAUGAACGCUAGCUACAGGCUUAACACAUGCAAGUCGAGGGGCAGCAUUUCAGUUUGCUUGCAAACUGGAGAUGGCGACCGGCGCACGGGUGAGUAACACGUAUCCAACCUGCCGAUAACUCGGGGAUAGCCUUUCGAAAGAAAGAUUAAUACCCGAUGGUAUAAUCAGACCGCAUGGUCUUGUUAUUAAAGAAUUUCGGUUAUCGAUGGGGAUGCGUUCCAUUAGGCAGUUGGUGAGGUAACGGCUCACCAAACCUUCG